UCCCUCAUAGCUCAGUCAGUAAGGAAUCUGCCUGCAAUGCAGGAGACCCAGGUUCGAUUCCUGGGUUGGGAA
rfam:Ovis aries breed Texel chromosome 17, whole genome shotgun sequence.